rnacentral:rRNA from 1 species
UACAGGGGGGGCAAGCGUUGUUCGGAAUUACUGGGCGUAAAGGGCUCGUAGGCGGCCGGCUAAGUCCGACGUGAAAUCCCCAGGCUUAACCUGGGAACUGCGUCGGAUACUGGCAGGCUUGAAUCCGGGAGAGGGAUGCGGAAUUCCAGGUGUAGCGGUGAAAUGCGUAGAUAUCUGGAGGAACACCGGUGGCGAAGGCGGGUCUCUGGGCCGAUUCUGACGCUGAGGAGCGAAAGCGUGGGGAGCGAACAGG